UACGUAGGGGGCUAGCGUUGUCCGGAAUCAUUGGGCGUAAAGCGCGUGUAGGCGGCCCGGUAAGUCCGCUGUGAAAGUCCAGGGCUCAACCCUGGGAUGCCGGUGGAUACUGUCGGGCUCGAGUCCGGAAGAGGCGAGUGGAAUUCCUGGUGUAGCGGUGAAAUGCGCAGAUAUCAGGAGGAACACCAAUGGCGAAGGCAGCUCGCUGGGACGUGACUGACGCUGAGACGCGAAGGUCAGGGGAGCAAACGGG
rnacentral:rRNA from 1 species